rnacentral:rRNA from 1 species
GAUGAACGCUAGCGGCAGGCCUAAUACAUGCAAGUCGGACGGGAUUGAGAAGCUUGCUUUUCAUGAGAGUGGCGCACGGGUGCGUAACACGUAUGUAACCUACCUUUAUCAGGGGGAUAGCCUCUCGAAAGAGAGAUUAAGCCCGCAUAAAAUCACAGUACAGCAUUGUACAAUGAUCAAAUAUUUAUAGGAUAAAGAUGGGCAUGCGGAACAUUAGCUAGUUGGUAAGGUAACGGCUUACCAAGGCUACGAUGUUUAGGGGAUCUGAGA